AGGUGUAUAGCUCAGUGGUAGAGCAUGUCCUUAGUAUUCCUGAGGCCCUGGGUUCAAUCCCCAGUACCUCCA
rnacentral:tRNA from 1 species